rnacentral:rRNA from 1 species
GACGAACGCUGGCGGCGUGCCUAAUACAUGCGAGUGGGACGCAAGGAAACACACUGUGCUUGCACACCGUGUUUUCUUGAGUCGCGAACGGGUGAGUAACGCGUAGGUAACCUGCCUAUUAGCGGGGGAUAACUAUUGGAAACGAUAGCUAAUACCGCAUAAUAUUAAUUAUUGCAUGAUAAUUGAUUGAAAGAUGCAAGCGCAUCACUAGUAGAUGGACCUGCGUUGUAUUAGCUAGUUGGUAAGGUAAGAGCUUACCAAGGCGACGAUACAUAGCCGACCUGGGAGGGUGAUCCGCCACAAUGGGACUGAGACACGGCCCAGACUCCUACGGGAGGCAGCAGUAGGGAAUCUUCGGCAAUGGACGAAAGUCUGACCGAGCAACGCCGCGUGAGUGAAGAAGGUUUUCGGAUCGUAAAGCUCUGUUGUAAGUCAAGAACGUGUGUGAGAGUGGAAAGUUCACACAGUGACGGUAGCUUACCAGAAAGGGACGGCUAACUACGUG